rnacentral:rRNA from 1 species
GACGAACGCUGGCGGCGUGCUUGACACAUGCAAGUCGAACGCUGAAGACCUGGCUUUUGUUGGGUUGGAUGAGUGGCGAACGGGUGAGUAACACGUGAGUAACCUGCCCUCUUCUUUGGGAUAACGCCCGGAAACGGGUGCUAAUACUGGAUAUUCACUGAUCUUCGCAUGGGGGUUGGUGGAAAGGUUUGUUCUGGUGGGGGAUGGGCUCGCGGCCUAUCAGCUUGUUGGUGGGGUGAUGGCCUACCAAGGCUUUGACGGGUAGCCGGCCUGGGAGGGUGACCGGUCACAUUGGGACUGAGAUACGGCCCAGACGCCUACGGGAGGCAGCAGUGGGGAAUAUUGCACAAUGGGCGAAAGCCUGAUGCAGCGACGCCGCGUGAGGGAUGGAGGCCUUCGGGGUGUAAACCUCUUUCGCUCAUGGUCAAGCCGCAACUGUGGGUUGUGGUGAGGGUAGUGGGUAAAGAAGCGCCGGCUAACUACGUG